rnacentral:rRNA from 1 species
UAACGGCGAGUGAAGCGGCAACAGCUCAAAUUUGAAAUCUGGCGUCUUUGGCGUCCGAGUUGUAAUUUGCAGAGGGCGCUUUGGCAUUGGCAGCGGUCCAAGUUCCUUGGAACAGGACGUCACAGAGGGUGAGAAUCCCGUACGUGGUCGCUAGCCUUUACCGUGUAAAGCCCCUUCGACGAGUCGAGUUGUUUGGGAAUGCAGCUCUAAAUGGGAGGUAAAUUUCUUCUAAAGCUAAAUACUGGCCAGAGACCGAUAGCGCACAAGUAGAGUGAUCGAAAGAUGAAAAGCACUUUGGAAAGAGAGUUAAAAAGCACGUGAAAUUGUUGAAAGGGAAGCGCUUGCAGCCAGACUUGCCUGUAGUUGCUCAUCUAGGUUUCUACCUAGUGCACUCUUCUAUAGGCAGGCCAGCAUCAGUUUGGGCGGUUGGAUAAAGGUCUCUGUCAUGUACCUCUCUUCGGGGAGAACUUAUAGGGGAGACGACAUGCAACCAGCCUGGACUGAGGUCCGCGCAUCUGCUAGGAUGCUGGCGUAAUGGCUGUAAGCGGCCCGUCUUGAAACACGGACCAAGGAGUCUAACAUCUAUGCGAGUGUUUGGGUGUCAAGCCCGAACGCGUAAUGAAAGUGAACGGAGGUGGGAACCUUUCGGGGUGCACCAUCGACCGAUCCUGAUGUCUUCGGAUGGAUUUGAGUAAGAGCAUAGCUGUUGGGACCCGAAAGAUGGUGAACUAUGCUUGAAUAGGGUGAAGCCAGAGGAAACUCUGGUGGAGGCUCGCAGCGGUUCUGACGUGCAAAUCGAUCGUCAAAUUUGGGCAUAGGGGCGAAAGACUAAUCGAACUAUCUAGUAGCUGGUUCCUGCCGAAGUUUCCCUCAGGAUAGCAGUAACGUUUUCAGUUUUAUGAGGUAAAGCGAAUGAUUAGAGGCCUGGGGGUUGAAACAACCUU